rnacentral:misc_RNA from 1 species
GGGUGAAGUAUGGUUUGUGGAUUUCAAUGAUUUUGGGGUUUAUGGUGUUGGGGAAAGUGUAUGGAAUAGGAGCAAACUGGGGUACACAAGCAACACAUCCAUUGCCACCAAACAUAGUAGUAAAGUUACUUAAAGACAAUGGGAUUCAGAAAGUGAAGCUGUUUGAUGCAGAUUCAGAAAUCUUGAAUGCCCUCAGUGGCUCUGGAAUUGAAGUCAUGGUUGGAAUACCAAAUGAAAUGUUGUGGAGUUUAGCUAACAG